rnacentral:lncRNA from 10 species
GAGACAUUCGCUGACUUUGAAGAUCUCUAUUGACAUCUCAGUUUUGUCUGGUGCUGUCUCUAGAUGUUGUGCCUCCUGGUGAGAGAAUGCAGGAGUUACUCAGCAAAUAUUAGGCUAACUCUAGGCAGAUGCCUCCUUGUUCCAGGCUGACAAGCCCGGGCUUGUGCUUAUUUCACUGUCUAACCCUGCCCAGGCCCCGGGGAGAAGCCUGGUAUUCUUCGUGUUUAUUUAAUUGUCAACUCUCUGUGUUCUAAGACGAUACCCUGGCCUUGACUCAGUACAACCUAGGACUGUAAGUCCCAUCAUGUCUAUGGACUUCAGUUUCCAGACAUGAAACACAAGAGGCUUGGACGAGAUUAGAAAUCAAGAACUCGAAUGCGUAUGGUCAGAGCCACGAGGCCUGCCUGUGGCCACCCAUGGACCAAUCUGCGCAUACUCCUCUCCGCUGAGGCCUACAAAAGCCCUGGGUUCAGCCAGAGCCGAGCAGACAUUGGGAAGACUGGCUGCCAAGAGAGACUACCCAC